AAAGAUUUGUACGGUAUUAAGGAGAAGCAAUACGAGGAAAGCAAGGAGAUAAGAGUUAGACAGUAAUGUCUCGUGGUAGCAGAAUGUCAGGAACGUGCCAUAGGUUUCGGAGACGCUGAAGCGACCAACUUUGUCCCCACGGUCCAGCUUGUUAAUAGCGAUCCAUCGAGCUUUCCAUGGGGGUUGUUUGAAACUUUAACUAGUUUCCACUUGGUCCGUAGUCGAAGCUGCAACCAUAUGAGGUGAGAUUCGAUUCCGUCAAAACGUUCCUUCCUUCAAAACACUGGGGAGAAAUCUUCGACGAAUUUUCCUUUUUUAGCAUAUAUCUCUUUAUACAAUUGAUAGAUUUAUACAAAUCCGAUAUAAAUGAUGCGUGUGAUUAUAUUGAGACCAGAGAUAAACGAAUAUUCAUAAAUAAAUAACAAACAUCCAUAAAUAAAUAAAUAAUUAUACGAAUAUGCAUUACAGAUUGCAUAUCAUUAAUUUACGAUGAGAUUAUUUCCAGCUCUAUUUAUUUAUUAUUCGAGGUGAUGAAAAACAUUUGGUUUCUGUAUAUUUGUUCCACGGAAAAUGUUUAAUCUCCGCUCGAAUAAAUAUUCCAUCGAUAUCUUUUUUCUAAAAAGAUUUGAUUAAUUAUAAUAUUUUAUUUGUUUGUAAAAUUAAAAUUGUCAACAAGGAAAUUCCGUAUCCCGGAUAGAUAUCAAGAAUAUCGCAGAAUUUUUUAUCGUUCAAAAAUUUAGAAGGAAAGAAUUUGAACACGAAGAAGAAAUAACCAUAGAAGAUGAGAAAAUAUAUAUAUAUAUAUAUAUGUAGCUGGCUAUGUAUCGAGUUUUACACUAUACUGGCGAGAAUGUACUUGCACCUGAGCCAAUUUGCACAUCAAGAAUUUAUGGCUUCCUUGCUAAUGAAAGGCUCGCUACACACAUUUUCUCUUGGAGGGAUCAAAAAAUAAGAAGGAAAGAUGUAAUAAAGGAUUUUACAUUUUAAUCGAACAAUAUGUAAGUAUCGCGUAUAUUUAAAAGAAACAUCGCUCUUUCUAAUGUGUUAAAAUAAUCAAUAAUAUCUUCCAUUUUAUAUUCGCUCAAACUUCUCUUCAAAUUUUUAUUGAAAAAUAGAAAUGAUAAAACCCAAAUAAUUUUCCAUAUUUGUUCUAAUUUCCAGAGCACAGAGAAACAAAGCAACGUUUGAUCGAGAUUAAACCAAUUUUCCUCUCUUCCUCGAAAACUUGGAAAUAUUUCUAAGCCAGAACACUUUUUAAAUUAUGCCCUCGUGUGACAUCUUGGGAUCGUCUCGAAAUGUAUUCACCCUUGGCUUUGUGUGCGUCCACGUCGAGACGAAAAGUCUGCGAAUAAACCCCUCUCCAACGUCCGGUCAGGAUUCGAGAAUAUUUUUAUCGGGUCUGGUUUUCUUUUUUCUUUCUUUCUUUCUAUCUUUCUUUCUUUUUUUAGGUUCUUUUUCGUAUUUUUUUUUUUUUUCCAUCGGCCAACAGCUGGGAAUCAGGGCACACGUGCUAGCAACGAUGCGAGACUGUUCCACUGGCAGAGUUGGUCGAGGACAAUCACCAGGAUGCGGGAAUCGUCAGCUAGAUGGCGUCACUAACGAGUUCACACAAUUCCCCUAUCACGACCAUAUAUUCCAACGACCGAUCUUUGCCCAAAAAUAACCACGAAAUCUAAAAACCGAAACGAACGAACCGCGCGUAAACACGAUCUCAUCAUCGGCAAGCAUUCCCGGAAACAGAUCUGCAAACUCACACCGUUUCCGAUCAUAUCUCGCGAUUCACCACGUAUGCCCUGGCCACCACCACCAUCACCGCUACUACCAUCUACAGGCAGUUGCGCAUAAUUGGGAAUCGAUGAGAGAGGAUGCAACCGGUCGUGAAACGAACGAACCGCGAGGAUGAGCGGGCAAAGUGGGUUGGGUUGGGUGGGUGACAAUGCAAAAGAGAGAGAGAGAGAGAUCGCUUAGAUUUAAGUGACAUCGAGCAUCGCACAAUGGUGCUGAUUGCCGAAAUUAGCUGGCGCAGCCUCUGGCGACACGGCUCACGAGGCUCGUUGCAGAGAUGGUGGUGGUUAGGAAAGGAGGGAAAGAAGAGAGAGAGAGUGUGGAAAAGAAAAGGAUCGAUGGGAGAGGAGGGAGAGAGACAGACAGAUUUGUAGGACGAAGUUCCGCGUGGUUGGUAUGGAUUACGGAGACAAUUGCGACUUCCUCUCUGCAACGCAGACGUUACGUGUUUGCUGCGAGCAACGAAGCUGUUUAAAAAUCGAGCCGAUUUUUCAAAGUGGCUAGGAGGAAGCAACGUGAUAUGAAUGAAAUAAGAAAUAUCAGAUUAUUGAUCGAAAUUAAUUCUUCCAUGAGCCUCGUGAAUCUCAACCAACACGUGAUGCAUAAUGAUUUAAUUUUAUCACAUGAAACAAUAUUUUUAUUACGUGUUAUUUUGUAAUGUGCAUCAGAGAGUAUUUAAACACGACAACUUGUCAAAUCCAAAAAUAUAUUCUUUUUAAAAAUACAUGAAAUAAAUCCACAUAAAUCACAUUCUGCAAAAAAAAAAAAAACUAAUGUUACGAAAACCGA